rnacentral:lncRNA from 1 species
UGAUCAUAAAUUAUUCUAAUAAUAUUAUAAUAUUAUAAUAUAAUAUUAUAAUAUAUAUAUAUAAUCUAUAUAUAUAAAAGAGUGAUGGCAUCACGGUGACCCACGAAACUAUAAACCUCGAAAUCUGACAACACAACCCAUCAUCCACGCCUCUAGGUUGAUACAACAAAAAAGAAAAGAAAAAUAAAGUCCUAAUUAGAGAGAGAGAGGAAUAAUUGCUUUUAUCCAAUUGCUGCCAGUUAGAAGGCUAAGCUCCUCCAACUUGGUCUCCUAGCAACCCAAUAAAAAAUAAUAAAAAACACUAAAAAUUAAUACAAUAAAAUACUAUAAUAACAGAAAAUAACUAAAAAUAAUACAAGAAAAUAAUAAAAUAUUAUAAAUACAAAUAUAACUUACAAUAAAAUUAAUAAAAAAAUGGCAAAUAACGUCAAAUAAAAAUUACACAACAAUUUUUAACCAAUACCACCACCACUUUGCCACAGCAACGCGUGGCCGGGCACAGCUAGUAUUAUAAUAUAAUAUAUAAUAAUAUAAUUAUAAUAUUAUAAUUAUAAUAUUAUUAUAUACUAUUACAUUAUAUUAUAAUAGUACUAUUAAAUUAAGAUUAAAUUAAAAUAAGAAAGGAGUAGCCUCUAGGUAUAUAUGCAUGCAAUGCUCAGAUGCUGAGCAUAGAAAUAGAAAGGAUUAGCUGCUAGAUAGAUAGAUAGAUGGAUGGAUAGAUAGCCAAGCCCAUAUGAUGAUUGUGUCCUUUUUUUUCUCCUUGUGCAGGUUGGGGAAGCCCGGGCCUUGUAUAACCUGGGCAACGUCUACCACGCAAAGGGCAAGCAGCUCUCGUGGACUUUGCCCCAGGAUUCUGGCCACGGCCUCCCCGUGGAAGUCAAGGAAGCCCUGGAAAAGGCCUCCGAAUAUUACGGUCGGACCCUGUCUCUGGCGCAGGGCCUGGGGGACCGAGCGGCGGCCGGGCGGGCACUGGGCAACCUGGGCAACUCCCAUUACCUGCUGGGACACUUCACCCAAGCCAUCCUCUUCCACAAACAGGUGGGUUAUUAUAUUAGACUAGCUGUGCCCGGUAGUGUGGAGUCAAGAUAAUUCAGUUCAAAGCUGAUAAUAUCUAUAUAUAUAAAAGAGUGAUGGCAUCACGGCCAUAAUUAUUAUUAUUAUUAUUAUUAUUAUUAUUAUUAUUAUUAUUAUUAUUAAGAGGCUGGAUGGCCAUCUGUUGGGCUGAGUCGGUUGCUAGGGGACCAAGUGGGCGGAGCUUAGCCUUCUAACUGGCAGCAAUUGGAUAGAAACAAUUAUUCCUCUCCCUGUAAUUAGGACUAUAUUUUUCUUUUCUUUUUGUUGUAUGAACGUAGAGGCAUGGAUGAGGGGUUGUGCUGCCAAGUUUAGUGUUUCUGGGAUGUGUAGUUUUGUUGUUUUGUCCUCGGCCGAAAUUUCAUUACCCUUUUAUAUAUAUCAAUUAUAAGCCAUGGACUCAUUGGGAGAGACCUGGUGGGCCUCCCAGUCCAACCCCAUUCGGCCAAGAAGCAGGAAAAUUGCAUUCAAAGCCCUCCCAACAGAUGGCCAUCUAAUUCAAAGCCUCCGCCACACUCUGCAGUGGAGAGUUCCACUGUUGAACUGUGAGAAAGUUCUUCCUCAUGUUCAGGUGGAAUCUCAAAUCUUGUUAUUUAGUCCCUUGAUUAUUUGAAUCGAGCCCAUCCUCAUGAAGCUGGAAAAUGUUAAAUUGCCUCUGUGUCUGUCUAUAUAUGUCGUAUGUCUAAUAACGGCAUUGAAUGCUUGCCAUGUAUAUAUGCAAUGUGAUUCCGAAAUGACUUCCAUGACCUCCCCUUCCUCACUCUCUUCUGAUUGGUUGCAGCGCCUGGCCAUCGCCAAGGAGUUCGGGGACACGGCGGCCCAAAGGCGGGCCUACAGUAACCUUGGCAACGCCCACAUCUUCCUGGGAAGGUUUGACCUCUCUGCCGAGUUUUACAAGUGAGGAUGAUAAUAAUAAUAAUAAUAAUAAUAAUAAUAAUAAUAAUAAUAAUAAUAAUAAUAAUAUUUUCUCCUAUUUGUAAUGUUUGUGAAAUGGAUCGA